rnacentral:rRNA from 1 species
UGGGGAAUUUUGGACAAUGGGCGAAAGCCUGAUCCAGCAAUGCCGCGUGUGUGAAGAAGGCCUUCGGGUUGUAAAGCACUUUUGUCCGGAAAGAAAUCCUUGGCUCUAAUACAGUCGGGGGAUGACGGUACCGGAAGAAUAAGCACCGGCUAACUACGUGCCAGCAGCCGCGGUAAUACGUAGGGUGCAAGCGUUAAUCGGAAUUACUGGGCGUAAAGCGUGCGCAGGCGGUUUGCUAAGACCGAUGUGAAAUCCCCGGGCUCAACCUGGGAACUGCAUUGGUGACUGGCAGGCUAGAGUAUGGCAGAGGGGGGUAGAAUUCCACGUGUAGCAGUGAAAUGCGUAGAGAUGUGGAGGAAUACCGAUGGCGAAGGCAGCCCCCUGGGCCAAUACUGACGCUCAUGCACGAAAGCGUGGGGAGCAAACAGGAUUAGAUACCCUGGUAGUCCACGCCCUAAACGAUGUCAACUAGUUGUUGGGAUUCAUUCCUUAGUAACGUAGCUAACGCGUGAAGUUGACCGCCUGGGGAGUACGGUCGCAAGAUUAAAACUCAAAGGAAUUGAUGGGGUCAUAGCUGUUUCCU